AGGACGAACGCUGGCGGCGUGCUUAACACAUGCAAGUCGAGCGGAGAGGCCCUUCGGGGUACUCGAGCGGCGAACGGGUGAGUAACACGUGAGUAAUCUGCCCCUAGCUCUGGGAUAGCUCCGGGAAACCGGGAUUAAUACCGGAUACGACCACCUUAGACAUCUUUUGUGGUGGAAAGAAUUUCGGCUAGGGAUGAGCUCGCGGCCUAUCAGCUUGUUGGUGGGUAACGCCUACCAAGGCGACGACGGGUA
rnacentral:rRNA from 1 species